UACGUAGGGGGCAAGCGUUAUCCGGAUUUACUGGGUGUAAAGGGAGCGUAGGUGGUUCGGUAAGUCAGAUGUGAAAGCCCGGGGCUCAACCCCGGGACUGCAUUUGAAACUAUCGGACUUGAGUGCAGGAGAGGUAAUUGGAAUUCCUAGUGUAGCGGUGAAAUGCGUAGAUAUUAGGAGGAACACCAGUGGCGAAGGCGGCUUACUGGACUGUAACUGACACUGAGGCUCGAAAGCGUGGGGAGCAAACAGG
rnacentral:rRNA from 1 species